GAUGAAGAACGCAGCGAAAUGCGAAAAGUAGUGUGAAUUGCAGAAUUCAGUGAAUCAUCGAAUCUUUGAACGCACAUUGCGCCCCUUGGUAUUCCAUGGGGCAUGCCUGUUCGAGCGUCAUCUGUACCUUCAAGCUCUGCUUGGUGUUGGGUGUUUGUCCCGCUUUUUGCGUGGACUCGCCUCAAAGCAAUUGGCAGCCGGCGUACUAGCCUGGGAGCGCAGCACAUUUUGCGCAUCUCGACUGGAACGCUUGCGUCCAUUAAGCCUACACUUUUGCUCUUGACCUCGGAUCAGGUAGGGAUACCCGCUGAACUUAAGCAUAUCAAUAAGCGGAGGA
rnacentral:misc_RNA from 1 species